rnacentral:rRNA from 1 species
CGUAGGGUGCGAGCGUUAAUCGGAAUUACUGGGCGUAAAGCGUGCGCAGGCGGUUUGUAAGACAGAUGUGAAAUCCCCGGGCUCAACCUGGGACCUGCAUUUGUGACUGCAAGGCUAGAGUACGGUAGAGGGGGAUGGAAUUCCGCGUGUAGCAGUGAAAUGCGUAGAUAUGCGGAGGAACACCGAUGGCGAAGGCAAUCCCCUGGACCUGUACUGACGCUCAUGCACGAAAGCGUGGGGAGCAAACAGGAUUAGAUACCCUGGUAGUCCGCGCCCUAAACGAUGUCAACUGGUUGUUGGGUCUUUACUGACUCAGUAACGAAGCUAACGCGUGAAGUUGACCGCCUGGGGAGUACGGCCGCAAGGUUG